rnacentral:rRNA from 1 species
UUUGAACGCUGGCGGCAGGCCUAACACAUGCAAGUCGGACGGUAGCACAGAGGAGCUUGCUCCUCGGGUGACGAGUGGCGGACGGGUGAGUAAUGUCUGGGGAUCUGCCCGAUAGAGGGGGAUAACCACUGGAAACGGUGGCUAAUACCGCAUAACGUCGCAAGACCAAAGAGGGGGACCUUCGGGCCUCUCACUAUCGGAUGAACCCAGAUGGGAUUAGCUAGUAGGCGGGGUAACGGCCCACCUAGGCGACGACCCCUAGCUGGUCUGAGAGGAUGACCAGCCACACUGGAACUGAGACACGGUCCAGACUCCUACGGGAGGCAGCAGUGGGGAAUAUUGCACAAUGGGCGCAAGCCUGAUGCAGCCAUGCCGCGUGUAUGAAGAAGGCCUUCGGGUUGUAAAGUACUUUCAGCGGGGAGGAAGGCGAUAAGGUUAAUAACCUUGUCGAUUGACGUUACCCGCAGAAGAAGCACCGGCUAACUCCGUGCCAGCCGCCGCGGUAA